rnacentral:rRNA from 1 species
AUGUUCCUCGCACGCUCACCGCUUCGCCUCUGUCUCCCACCACGCCGCACGCCCCACGCUGGAAAAGGGAAGGCGAGCCACCUCCGCCCUCCCCUCGCCCCCGCGCUGGUCCCACCGCCGAGCCUAGUUCCCCUCACUUCUCCGUGCAGGCGCCGUCGCAUCAAUCGAUCUCCCGAGCAAGCGACCUCCCUCUCCAAUCUACUCGUUGGCUAUGGCGGACGAGCCGGAGGGGCGAGGGGAGGGGGAGCAUGGACGCCAACUGGCGCCCCACCCAUGACUCAGAUCCCGCCACCACGGCCGCCGGAGGCGGGGUUGACCCGAACGCACCGGCGCCCCACCGCCGGAGGAGACUGGCGCUCUGGGCUCCAUCCCGACGCCCGCGCCAGGAUCGUCAGUAAGAUAUCCAGUCGCACUCCUCAUCCAGCUCCAUGUCUCCUAGUGCGGCGGCACAGUGGGAGGAUGUGA